GGGGGCGUGGCUCAGAUUGUAGUGCGUUCGCUUAGCAUGCGAGAGGUACGGGGAUCGAUACCCCGCGCUUCCA
rnacentral:tRNA from 1 species